GUCUACCCGGUCGGGGGAGAUUAGCUGUGAUGCCCGUUUCUUGUACUCUGUAAAGAGGUUUAUUUCUUUAGCUGUUUUGCUUUUUCUUUCAAACGUUUGCAGUUUUCAAAAAGUGUAGGAAAAGAGGAAAAGUAGUCGUCUGGCUUCUUGUGAUUCUCCUGUCGUCUGCGUGGAUGAUGUGGAACAUCCAGGGCCGUGUCAUCUACUUCCUGUCUCGACCUUCCGCCAUUACAACCAAUAUUAAGUUCAAGGACGAACUGAUAUUUCCAAAAGUCACGAUAUGUAAUCAGAACACGUUUAGGUAAAGUGUCUGUUUAUUGGACUAGUGGAAAGAAAAAAAACAGUAGUUGUGGCAGUCCUCUUCUGGCGGUGCAAGAGAGAUGGAUG